AUGAUAAAUCAUACUAGUACUAAUGCACUAAAUCUCAUCAGAAUUCUGAAGUUAAAUGUACUUGGGCGAGAAUAAUACUAAGAUGAAUGACUUCCUGAAAAUUCCUCAUGUUGCACACC
rnacentral:rRNA from 1 species